rnacentral:tRNA from 1 species
CCUCUCGUGGUGUAGAAGCGACGCGCCCUAUCUUGUGAACAGUUAGUCGUGAGUUCGUUUCUCACCGAGAAGA